rnacentral:rRNA from 1 species
UAGUCCAUGCCGUAAACGUUGGGCACUAGGUGUGGGGUCUUAUUAACGGAUUCCGUGCCGUAGCUAACGCAUUAAGUGCCCCGCCUGGGGAGUACGGCCGCAAGGCUAAAACUCAAAGGAAUUGACGGGGGCCCGCACAAGCGGCGGAGCAUGUUGCUUAAUUCGAGGCAACGCGAAGAACCUUACCUGGGUUUGACCUGUAGAGAAAAGCCAUAGAGAUAUGGUGUCCUUCGGGGGCUCUACACAGGUGGUGCAUGGGCUGUCGUCAGCUCGUGUCGUGAGAUGUUGGGUUAAGUCCCGCAACGAGCGCAGCCCCUUGUCCUAUGUUGCCAGCACGUAAUGGUGGGGACUCGUAGGAGACUGCCGGGUCAACUCGGGAGGAGGCGGGGACGACGUCAAGUCAUCAUGCCCCUUAUAUCCAGGGGCUGCAAACAUGCUACAAUGGCCGGGUACAACGGGGCUGC